AUCUCCGUCGAACCUCCAUCGAUGUCUUCUUACCUUGUCAAGGUCCACCGAUCUCGUCGUCUAUGUUGAACCCUAUGUUCGUCGUUUCGACCCAUCACCUCACAAUCGAACCAUAUAUCAUUCGUUUUCUCUCCUUCAAACCCUAAAUUGCUCUUCGUUAUUAACACCUCUAUCAACCAUGUAACCAAAAAAAAAACACCUCUAUCAACCACGCCCGAACACCAGAUUUGUCGCCCUCACCCCUUCUUCGAUGCCUUUCGUUGACAGAAAGAAAGAAACUAUCACGCAAAGGAGCUUUUUGCCAACCCCUUCACUGACGACAUUCUGCCCUCAUACACGAGUUUGAUUUGAAACCCUAAUCUUGUCUGAUCCUUUGGUUUCUUGAUUUUUCAAUUAAUUUAACUUCUUUCAGUUCAAUGUUGCAAAUUGACAAGGACCAGAAGCUAUAAUCUUUCCACCUCCUUGAUUUUUCAAUUGCUUAAAUUUCAGGUGUUGCAAACUAUUUGAUUUUGGAUUUUAGUGUGGUAUCAUCUAUUUGUUUUCAAUCGCUUAGUAUUGUUUAUUUUGAGGUGUGUUCAUUUCAGGUAAUUCAUUUUUUAAAGAUAAUUGUUUGAUGAUUAAGAAUUUGAAACACCCUCACUUGCUUGUUUGCUUGUUGUGUGGUUUGUGAAUGUAUUGAAGAAAUUGAAGUUGUAAAUUUUAAUCCAUGUUUACAUUAUCUUCUUGUCAUAUAUUAGCUUAGGUUGUUCUAUCUUUGUGUGAUUUUAGACAUAGAUUGUUGAUCAUCUUUGCCACAUGAAAAAGUGUAAAUCUAUUAAUCUUGCUGUUGUGUUUGAACAGUUGGAAUGGUUCUUGUAUAAGAAGGGUUGCUCAAAUGCAUCUUCUCCAUAAAUUUGUAGGUUACAUUAUAGGUGAUGAUUUUCAAUUUUAAGUAAAAAAAGCUAAAUUUAUAAUGUUUUCAAUCCCUAUAAUGAUGCCUCUGCUACUGGAAUUUAAUUUAACUUACUCCUAUUUCUAGUUGAUAUAUUAUGAUUUCUCUUUGUUUUCAUUGUACAGGAAACUUGACAUGCUUUGAUAUAUAAAUUAAUAGGUUCAAGUUCUUUGAAAUUUGGUGGAUGAGAAUUUUCUGCAUUUCCUCAUAGGAUUGAUUGAAAAGGAGCAUUUUUUCCUGUGCGUUUUUAAAUGUUAGAACGGUUAUUGAGUCCACCAAACUACCUCUUAUUCCUUUCUUCGCUGUUGUAGGUUUCAACCGCACCAACUGAAGUUCUUUCAUAUGUGGGGAGAUCAUAUACUGGUGAUAUUUACCAAGUCUUUAAAAAAAUCAUACAGGUACCAAGCUACCAAGCUUACUUUGCACAUGUAACUUAUUUUAUGGUAAAUCUUGUAUGUAUCUGCAAUUGUAAAUGAUUCAGGAAGAUAAUAGGUAUGCCUCAAAUCACACAUUGGGAAUGGAUCUGCCACUCUUAGGUAAGUUUUAACUCAAAACACUAUAUAUUAGUGUCCUUUCUCUAUUUUUCUGAAGUUCCAGAUUACUAGUCCUGCAUAAUAUUAGAAGUUUAGUAUGCUUAUUUUGUUCUUCUAUUAUUUUGAAUGACUUGUGAAAGACACAUUCAUCAUGACCUUGUAAAUCAUUCGUAUACAAGUUUUAAUUACUUAAAUUUAUAUUGUUUCGUGGUAUUAUGUUCCAAGUUUCAACUAGCAAGUUUCAUAUUUUGCCUUUUAUUAUAGUACCAGUAUAUUUUUGUUCAAUAUGAACAAUUUUCAACAAAGAUAGCAUAUUUGGCAUUGUAUGAACUCUCUCCUAUUGACAAGUCUUAAUUCAUAACAUUUUGGUUCUCUUGCUUUCUGAAUGUUCAGGUAAACAACAACUCAGACUGGGGCCAUGUCAGUGAUGCCAUAGUUGUUUAGCUAAAGUAUGUUAUGUAGGUUCUACUAGUUUGAUAACUACAAUCAAUGAUCUCACCCGUUUUUCUUGUUACUUUCCAAUUAUGCUUUACUAGAUAGAAUUAUCUAGUAAUUACCUCUUUUUCUUAGAGACAACUUUUUUGGUUACUUUCUUAGAGACAACUUGAGUAUGUAUGUAUUGUAUGUCUAGUUUAAUUAUUUCUAUUGAUGAAUUCUAUUGUUAAACUGAAAACCAGUAAGAUUCUUUAAUCUUAUAUAUAUGCCACUAUAAGACCAAGACACUAAAAUCGGGCAUACGAUUCGUAGUUAGAACCAAAUUUUAACAACAAUGAAAACUUUUUUAUGGUAUUCUUUGUUUUGAAGUGAUUCUAGGCAAGCUGUCAGAGGCAGCAGUACUGUACUUCACAAGCCGACAAAGGUGUUAUCAAGGUUUCUUUGUUUCACCUCUGCUCUCUGUUCCUUUGUGCUUGUCUCUUGUGAGGUAGUGUUUAUGAUUUUACUUCCUCUCUUAUGGACUCUUGUCUAUCCCUAGGAUCAAAUUUCUCAUAUGUUAUCUAUCACAUACUCACAUGUCAAAUUUUAUGGCUACUUAGGAAUUUGGACAUGUGACACUAAAAUUUUAGAGUAAUGGGGAUAAUCAUAAUGUCCCCAAGGUCAUAAUACUAUUUUUCCUCUUAAAAAGAUUAUUUGUAAAUGGGCUAUUGAAACACUAGAAUGAAUUAUGAGCAUGCUGAUGCACCAAAGAAUGUAUUAUCUAGCAAAUGCCUAUGUACUUGAUUUCUUGUACAUCUAUUAUAUACAAUGACUAUGUUUUAUUAUACAGGUAGUUUGAGGCCUUCCUUUUUCAAUGAAGUGGGUGGUUCUCAUCAAGUGAUAGGUCGUAGAAGAAAGUAGGGCUAGAGUUUGACAAUCUCUUUUGUAGUGGUCUUUGUGUUUGUACUAAAAUUUGUCAUUGAUUUUCUCAUAAGAAAGUAUGGCCAAAGUUUGACAAUAUCUCUUUUGUAGUGGUCUUUGUGUGUGUACUAUUCAAUUCGGAUUUGUCUUGUACUCGGAUUCGUAUUGUUUAUGAAAUGAAUGUAUUACAAGAGUUUUUAUUUUAUUAGAGUUUGCCUUGUGUGGUACAUCA